AUACGGAGGGUGCGAGCGUUAUUCGGAAUUACUGGGCGUAAAGCGCGUGUAGGCGGGAAGGCAAGUCUGAUGUGAAAGCCCCGGGCUUAACCUGGGAAGUGCAUUGGAAACUGCAUUUCUUGAGUGCUGGAGAGGAAGGGGGAAUUCCCGGUGUAGAGGUGAAAUUCGUAGAGAUCGGGAGGAAUACCAGUGGCGAAGGCGCCCUUCUGGACGGCAACUGACGCUGAGACGCGAAAGCGUGGGGAGC
rnacentral:rRNA from 1 species